CUCUCUGUAGCUCAGUUGGUUAGAGCGCUGCACCGGAAUCGCAGGGCCGUAGGUUCAAUUCCUACCAGAGGAC
rnacentral:tRNA from 1 species